rnacentral:piRNA from 1 species
UGAAAAUGGUACUCCUUCUACACUCUCUUC